CCAACCAACCAACCAACCAACUAAUCAACCAACCAAUCAAUCAAUCAAUCAAUCAAUCAUGAUCAUGAUCAAUAAAUCAUGUUUCAUGAAAAAUCGAAAUUCAAUAUUGUUCUUGCGUCACUUCUGAAAAAAAAUCCACAUGUACUCUGAAACUACAAGUACAAUCGACUUCAAAAUUUGCAGUCAGCAGGGCAUACAUGUACUGAAAGUUUAUAAAAAAACUUGGUGCAGAUAUCUCUCAAAGCUUUUCCUAGAGAAAAGAAAUGGCAAUGCGUAAAAAUCGCUUGCUAGGUCCGUAAAUCUCAGUAAAAACCUACAAUAAAAUGUCCGCUCCGAGAUUGAAAUACUUAAUCUGUGUUACAAACAGGUGCUGAAAAAUGUACAUUAUCAGAAAAUAAUCAAUAAAAUGUUUUUAAAGUUUACCGGAUCAAUUAAAUCCAAAUCAUGCCACUGCUUUGAAAACUGUCAUCAAAAAUGUCAAUUUCUACAAAUGACAAAGAAAUUACAUUGUGUGUAUCCGUCUCUAUACAUGUUGUCUGUUCAAAGUCCCCACCUAAAAGGAAUAAAAGACUAUCUUUUCGUUAUUAUAAACCGUGUCACGUGAUGUGGCGCGCGCGCUGUACUAAAAUAAAGAAAAACUUUCCAAACUAAAAUGAAACUUCUCCGGUAACAAUAAUAUAGACCCAUACAGAAACAAACAAACAAACAAACAAACAAACACCCCCCAUUUCAAUUAAUUUUACAGGGGGAAAGACCCCCUACAAUUGCUUUUUUAAAGCAAUUGAUUAUAUAUUGUAAAACCUUUUUAACCAUUCUGUUCCCUUAAUUUAAAAAAAAAAAAAAUCUCCCGAACCCCCGUGCCCCCCCCCUUUUUUUUUACCUCCUUACAAAACUGUAAUGUAGUUGUGUACUAUCUUUCCUAUCCACGUAAAACGAACGACAACUCCAGUUUUAGUCCAUAUAUUUAUUUAGUCUUUCCACUUCUCUGUGGAAGCUAUUGGCUAUUUUGUUCUGAUUAUCUUAUUAUUAUUUUUUUUUUUUUUCCGCCAAAUUUGUUCUUGCGAUAAAUGUUUGUUUCGCAAUAUGUCGCUUAGAUAUUUCUCAUAUUGUUAUCGUAUAGUUUAUGCGCUUUUAAAUUUCACCCUGCUAAGACGAACAAUUUUCUCUUGUAAGAGUUAUCUCCCUAUUCACUGUUUAUCAUGUUGUGCAUCUCCUUCGUAAAAAAAAAGAUAACGACAAAAUUCUUUUUACAAAAUUGUUCGUUACAUCCUCAGAAAAUUUUGGCUAAUUUGGAUCGAAGCGAUUCGAUGAAAUUUUAUAGGAGUUAUCUAUCUUUACGGAAUAAAUUUGUCGGUAUGUUUUUUAACUCAUAACCGUUAACCGUAUAACCCUGGAAUGUUUUUAUUUGAGUCCCCUGGAUUCCUAACUUAGAAAAUUAGGUCAAGGUCAAAGGUCAUAUUUUAGAUUUUUCAUAUGUCUUUUGAUUUCCCUAUAAUUCUUGAAUGGUUAUAGAUACAGAAAAAAUUAAGCAGUGAAAAAUGCUUAAGUACUUCAAGGGCAACUUUUUUACAUUAUGACUAUAUUGAUUUUACCAUCAUGUAAGGGACAUAACUCCCAUCGAUGGUUUUUAAAAAGCCAUUUUUAGGCAAAACUCUUAAACAAAAGGUCCUUGACCCAUAGGGUCUUUUGCAAUGACCUUGUGGAGCAAUGACCUUGACGAAGGGUCACAAGGUCAAAGGUCAAGGUCAUCAAAUUAUGUGGUUUUGGCACUAUUUAAACAGUUUUAUGUGUGUUUGAAUUUCAACCAACCAAACCAACCCAACCAACCAACCAACCAACCAACCAACCAACCAAUCAAUCAAUCAAUCAAUCAAUCAAUCAAUCAAUCAAUCAAUCAAUGUUUCCGUUUCAUGUGUUUGAUACGGGAUUCAAGGUCUCUUUUUUUCCGCUUGUUUUAAUUGAGCCUAUCAAACGUGUUUAACCAACAUGUUUAACCAACUAUGUUUAAACAACGUGUUUAACCAACCAACACCAACCAACCAACCAACCAAUCAACCAACCAAGCAUCAAUCAAUCAAUGCAUGUUUCCGUUUCAUGUGUUAAAUACGGGAUCCAAGAUGUUUUUUUUUUCGCUUGUUUAAAUUGAGCCUAUCUAACGUGUUUAACCACCAACGUGUUUACCAACAUGUUUAACCAACGUGUUUAACCACCAACCAACCAACCAACCAACCACCAACCAAUCAAUCAAUCAAUCAAUCAAUGCAUGUUUCCGUUUCAUGUGUUAAAUACGGGAUCCAAGAUGGUUUUUUUCGCUUGUUUAAAUUGAGCCUAUCUAACGUGUUAACCAGCCAACGUGUUUUAACCAACGUGUUUAACCAACGUGUUUAACCAACUUGUUUAACCAACCCAACCAACCAACCAACCAAUCAAUCAAUCAAUGCAUGUUUCCGUUUCAUGUGUUAAAUACGGGAUCCAAGAUGGUUUUUUUUCGCUUGUUAAA
rnacentral:lncRNA from 1 species